rnacentral:rRNA from 1 species
GAUGAACGCUGGCGGCGUGCCUAAUACAUGCAAGUCGAGCGAACAGAUAAGGAGCUUGCUCCUUUGACGUUAGCGGCGGACGGGUGAGUAACACGUGGGUAACCUAUCUAUAAGACUGGAAUAACUCCGGGAAACCGGGGCUAAUGCCGGAUAACAUGUUGAACCGCAUGGUUCUACAGUGAAAGGCGGCUUUGCUGUCACUUAUAGAUGGACCCGCGCCGUAUUAGCUAGUUGGUGAGGUAACGGCUCACCAAGGCAACGAGACGUAGCCGACCUGAGAGAGUGAUCGGCCACACUGGAACUGAGACACGGUCCAGACUCCUACGGGAGGCAGCAGUAGGGAAUCUUCCGCAAUGGGCGAAAGCCUGACGGAGCAACGCCGCGUGAGUGAUGAAGGUCUUCGGAUCGUAAAACUCUGUUAUUAGGGAAGAACAAAUGCGUAAGUAACUGUGCGCGUCUUGACGGUACCUAAUCAGAAAGCCACGGCUAACUACGUG